AACGAACGCUGGCGGCAGGCCUAACACAUGCAAGUCGAACGCGCGUAGCAAUACGCGAGUGGCGCACGGGUGAGUAAUACGUGGGAAUCAACCCUGAGGUUCGGAAUAACCGCGGGAAACUGCGGCUAAUACCGGAUGUCCCCUACGGGGGAAAGAUUUAUCGCCUUGGGACGAGCCCGCGUCCGAUUAGCUAGUUGGUGAGGUAAUGGCUCACCAAGGCUACGAUCGGUAGCUGGUCUGAGAGGACGACCAGCCACACUGGAACUGAGACACGGUC
rnacentral:rRNA from 1 species